UACGAGGGGGGCAAGCGUUGUUCGGAAUUAUUGGGCGUAAAGGGCGCGUAGGCGGUGCGGUAAGUCUGAUGUGAAAUCUCCGGGCUCAACUCGGAGUCUGCAUCAGAAACUGCCGUGCUCGAGUGUGGGAGAGGUGAGUGGAAUUCCCGGUGUAGCGGUGAAAUGCGUAGAUAUCGGAAGGAACGCCGGUGGCGAAAGCGAUCUGCUGGACCCUUUCUGACGCUGAGGCGCGAAAGCCAGGGGAGCAAACGGG
rnacentral:rRNA from 1 species